rnacentral:rRNA from 1 species
CCUACGGGUGGCAGCAGUGAGGAAUAUUUGUCAAUGGCCGGAAGGCUGAACCAGCCAUGCCGCGUGAAGGUCAGUGCCCUAUGGGCGUUAAACUUCUUUUGUGCGGGAGCAAUAAUGGUCACGUGUGGCCAGACGAGAGUACCGUACGAAUAAGCAUCGGCUAACUCCGGGCAAGCAGCCGCGGUAAUACGGGGGAUGCAAGCGUUAGCCGGAUUUAUUGGGUUUAAAGGGUGCGUAGGCUGUGAGGUAAGUCAGCGGGGAAAUGCCCCCGCUCAACGGGGUGAAGUGACAUUGAUACUGCCUUGCUGGAAUGCGGAUGCCGUGGGAGGAAUGUGUGGUGUAGCGGUGAAAUGCAGAGAGAGCACACAGAACACCGAUUGCGAAGGCAUGUCACGAAUCCGCAAUUGACGCUGAUGCACGAAAGCGUGGGUAUCAAACAGGAUUAGAUACCCUUGUAGUC